rnacentral:lncRNA from 1 species
CUUGAAGAUAUUGUGGGUCCAGCUCCAGAACCCUGCAAUAAAGUGAAUAUCACAAUAAACUGCAAGUUGUAAUGGAAAGCGCACCUCUCUGGAACUCGGGAGUCUUGGAUCCUACACAUGGUUCUAUGCAUAAAUAGAAAUGAAAUUAGCUUCCUGGAUACUAAGCUAGUAUUAAUCAGGUGAUUCUAAUUAAAAUCACUCUGCUAGCUAAACACUAUUCAGCAAGAUUUUGGUUACCCCAAGAACAUUCUGAGACAAUUGUAUCUAUAAUUGAUAAGACUUGACAAUAAUCUUUCUUCCUGAAGUGUGUUGUUAACUUUUUGGUUGACUCUUAGCAAAGUACAUAGCAUAUAGUAGGCAUUCAAUAAAUGUUCAUUCAUUUUUUGCAUAUUUUCAAA